rnacentral:rRNA from 1 species
CCUACGGGGGGCAGCAGUAGGGAAUUUUCGGCAAUGGGGGGAACCCUGACCGAGCAACGCCGCGUGAACGAAGAAGUUAUUCGUAAUGUAAAGUUCUUUUAACAGGGAAGAAAGAGAAAUUUGACGGUACCUGAAGAAUAAGCUCCGGCUAACUACGUGCCAGCAGCCGCGGUAAUACGUAGUGAGCGAGCGUUAUCCGGAAUUAUUGGGCGAAAAGGGUGCGUAGAUGGCAUAGUAAGUCUUUUGUAAAAAUGCUGGGCUCAACCCAGUAGGGCAAAAGAUACUGGAAAGCUAGAGUAUGACAGAGGCAAGUGGAACUAAAUGUGUAGCGGUAAAAUGCGUAAAUAUAUGUAAGAACACCAGUGGCGAAGGCGGCUUGCUGGGCCGAUACUGACAUUGAGGCACGAAAGCGUGGGGAGCAAACAGGAUUAGAUACCCUUGUAGUC